AAGCACGGCUUCGCAGCGCGCAGACGGGGAGCGUUGCUCCCAAUGAUGAUGCAAGGAAAGUCCCCGUGCCUUGGUGCAGAGAGUGCGUGUGGGAGACCGCAGGGCCCUUGCCGAACCGCCAGUGGUGAUGCUUCUCGCGGAGCCGUGGUGGCGGGUGUGGGUCCUUCGCAGCAGCACAGACAUGCCGUGAGUGCUCGCCAUGCUCAUGCCCCCUCCCAUGAAGGGAGCGCCAACAGCAACGGGGCUCACUCUCC
rnacentral:RNase_MRP_RNA from 1 species